UCGCGCGCGAAUCACGGCGCCAAUCGCGACGCGAAUCGCGGCGCGAAUUGGAGCAAGAACUGCCAACUGUCCACACUGGCAGAGGUUCGCGCCGGGCUCUCAGUAUAGUUCGCGCACUUGACGCGUAUGCACGCCAAGCAUUUAAUCAAUAUAGUUUAUUUGUAGUCGGUAUGGACAGUGAAACCACUACAGCAGCUGCGGGGCUACUUUGCGCUUUAGCAAUUUAUAGUUACGCCAUAAAGAAAAAACAAACAAUUCAAAAGAAGCAAAGAAAACGGAGAUGGUGGAUUACCACCAUUCACCGAAACAGAACCAGUGCAACCAUGGAGGAGCAGUUGAAUGAACUAGUUGCAGAACCUACAGAUGAAUUCAAAAGUUUUCCCGGAUGUCAUUAAAUGAUUUUGAAUAUUUGCUUAGUCAAAUUUCAACACGAAUUUCAAAACAAGACACCCAAUUACGAAAAGCUAUUCCUGCCCAGAUACGUCUCGCUAUAACACUGAGAUACUUAGCAACAGGAGAUGACUUUGAAAGCCUUCAUUUUUUGUUCAAAGUUUCACCACAAAUAAUAUCAAAAAUUAUACCCGAAGUUUGCCAUGCCCUAUGUGAAGUGUUAGAGGAUGAAAUAAAAAUACCAUCUUGUCCAGAAGAGUGGCUGCGUAUUGAAAGAGGAUUUGCAAGGAAGUUUCCUCGAGCGGUUGGAUCUAUUGACGGCAAACAUAUUGUUCUCGACUGUCCAUUCAAUUCUGGUUCUGUAUACUAUAAUUAUAAAAGAACCUACAGUAUAGUAUUACUAGCAUUAGUUGAUAGUCAAUACAAUUUCAUGUUUGCUGACAUUGGUUGCCAAGGCAGAAUAAGUGACGGUGGAGUUUUUACAAAUAGUAUUUUAUGGAACAAGAUGUGUACAAACAGCUUAAAUUUACCACCACCGCAUCCAUUACCAGGUUCGAACAUUGAUGUGCCCUACGUUUUUUUGGGGGAUGGAGCCUUUGCACUGUCAGAACAUUUAAUGAAGCCCUAUCCUGAUCAGCACAACAUAGGAUCUGCAAAACGUGAAUUCAACAAAGAUUAUCUUCAGCUCGGGUAGUGGUAGAAAAUACUUUUGGUAUAUUGGCGGCCAGAUUUAGAGUGUUUAGAAAACCAAUCCCAUUACAACCACAAAAGGCUCGCCUUAUAACAUAUACUUGUAUACUACUACAUAACUUCUUGAGACGAAGUUCUACUUCUUUACAUAUCUAUACACCACCCGGAUCUAUUGAUAUGUUUGAUGAUGAUGGAGUACUUAUACAACCUGGAUCAUGGAGGACAGAUCAAGAAAAUACAUCCGCUUUUCGUAACUUGAGAAGAGUACCUCGGCGAUCAGCAAAUAACGCCACAGAAAUAAGAAACGAAUUCACAAAAUAUUUAAGUAAUAUUUAAGUACCUAACUAUUAAAAAAUAAAGUUAUCUACUAACCGUA